rnacentral:snRNA from 1 species
CUCAACCAGCAACAACCCAAC